rnacentral:lncRNA from 1 species
UGAUUUUAACCAUCAGAUCGUGCUUCAAAUGAGAUUCCAACCAUCAGAUCGUGCCUCUGAUCUCCUACUCAAAGUCGGAAGUAUCCUCAACCGUUGGAUCAUGUGAUAGAUGGAAUCUGGAUCAUCAGAUCGGGCCCAAGAAUCCUUAUUACACUCGAGAAUACUAUCAGCCGUCCAAUCUGAAUCAGGAUGAAUAGGGACCAUCGGAUCAUGCGAAAUCAUCUCCACCCACCAUG